UACAUGCAAGUCGAACGGUUCCGCAAGGGAUAGUGGCAAACGGGUGCGUACCGCGUAAACAACCUGCCCCAAACUGGGGGAUAGCCCGGCGAAAGCUGGGGUAAACCCGCAUAGCCUCUUCUGGUGGCAUCACCUGGAAGAGUAAAGGCUUCGGCUGGUUUGGGAGGGGUUUGCGUCUGAUUAGCUAGUUGGCGGGGUAGUGGCCCACCAAGGCGAUGAUCAGUCGGGGCUCUGAGAGGAGGGUCCCCCACAUGGGCACUGAGACACGGGCCCAACUCCUACGGGAGGCAGCAGUAGGGAAUAUUGGGCAAUGGACAAACGUCUGACCCAGCCAUGCCGCGUGGAGGAAGACGGCCCUCUGGGUUGUAAACUCCUUUUAUCAGGGAAGAAGAGCGGGCUUGCGAGCCUGUGUGACGGUACCUGAGGAAUAAGCACCGGCUAACUCCGUGCCAGCAGCCGCGGUAAUACGGAGGGUGCAAGCGUUGUCCGGAUUUAUUGGGUUUAAAGGGUGCGUAGGUGGCUUUUUAAGUCCGCUCUGAAAGCUGGUCGCUUAACGAUCAGGGGUGGGUGGAUACUGGGGAGCUUGGAUCAGGUGGCGGUUUCUGGAACGGGUCGUGUAGCGGUGAAAUGCAUAGAUAUGACCCAGA
rnacentral:rRNA from 1 species